AACGUAGGGGGCCAGCGUUGCUCGGAAUUACUGGGCGUAAAGGGUCCGUAGGCGGUGCGGCAAGUCGGUAGUGAAAUCUCUGGGCUUAACCCAGAGGCUGCUGCCGAAACUGCCGUGCUAGAGUGCGAGAUAGGCGAGUGGAAUUGCGGGUGUAGCGGUGAAAUGCGUAGAUAUCCGCAGGAACAUCCGAGGCGAAAGCGGCUCGCUGGAUCGCAACUGACGCUGAGGGACGAAAGCUAGGGGAGCAAACAGG
rnacentral:rRNA from 1 species